UUUUGCUUCAUCUAAUAUUGUUAGACCCUUAAUUUCACUAUGAUUGUCAAUACCCUGACUUGGAACAUAGCCUGAUACACACAUUUUAUCUCAUAUUUCAUCAAUCACCCUAGCCGCCGCCGGCGGAUCUAGGUGACGGGUGACUAGAUUGUUCCGGAAUCGCCAGAAUGUUGCAGAGCAGAAUGCAACUGCCCUAACUUGAUUCACCGAUCGCUGAAGGAAGAGAGCAGAGAAAUUUGCAAACAGAGUCACAGAGACGCAUGGGAAGAAAGAAGAAGAGGAAGAGAGGAUUUGGGCUGGCUAUGAUGACUUGGGCAGUCAAGCUUAGAGCCAGUAGGCAGGCCUUUUUUUUCUUUUUUUUUUCCUUUUUUUUUGUAAAUUGGGCAGGCCCAAAUCAAUGAAAAUGAAAUCAUUUAUAUGGAUUAUGUCUCAUAUGAAUCACUUUCCCCCAAUUCUUUCCCGUCAAACCGGCAGCAGAGAAAAGAGCAAACCCUUCUUGAGUUCUUUCCCCCAAUUCCUUCUCGUCAAAUCGGUCACCUGAGUUAACUGAUUGAGCAUUUGAGCUAGUAGAGGCAUGAACGGUGAACGUAAACCCACUGGUGCGAAGUGCGAGUUGGGAGGAAAGAAGGAAGCAAGAGUGCAAAGAGAUAAUAAGCUGCGUUGAUCGCUUCGGGUGAGUGCGUUUUAUAUGUAGAUUUGCCUAUAUUUUGAUGCAAAUUUAAAUGAAAUUAUGUCAUAAUACUCAAGUUAUUUUAUUUAGAAGUAAAAUUUAAAAGUUCGAUGUAAAUGCAUGCUUGUAAACGUAGGAAAACACGUUUAUAAGGUCUUAAUUCUAUCCAAAAAAGACCACAAAAUUGCUGAUGAAUGAAUUUGGAUUUGUAGUACUAAUUUUUAAUUCUUUUUUCCUAGUUCUACAUUUUAUCUUUUGAUUGUUUGGAUCUGUAAAAUGAUUAGAAUAUGUAUAUUAAGAAGAAGAAUCCAUGUGAUAGAUGUGAAUUUGGGAUAGAAAAUGAAUGGAUAAAACUUAAAUUGAAUGGAUUGAUAUUUAAGAAGUUGCUUCAGAUUGGAGUUUGAAGGAGCCAUUUCAUGCCGCCACUCUUUCAUUUGGAUGGAUAAACAUUAAUGUGAGAUAGGUAGUGUUGGGUUGAAGUUUUAACAAAAUUAUAUGAUGGCUUGUUUGACUAUUUUUUUAUUCUAAAACUUAUCAACUUUUUCAUUAAUCAAGUUUUAAUUUUAACCACAUGUUUCACAAAAUUCGCAACUUUUAAAUUAUACCUUACUUGCACAUUAAUUGGUGUGUGGAAGGUUGAAUCUAACUAGAAGGUAUAGGUCUAAUGCUUCAAAUAGGUGAAGGUCCCUAUAAUAUUAACACUGUAAAUAUUAUCAUUUAGAAAACAUUUGUUCCAUCUAAAAUUGGAAACCCCCAAAAUCUCAACGUUGGACAUAGUAUCUAAUAAUAAUUAACAAAAUGGAUAUUCAAGAAGUUGCUUCAAAUUGGAUGAUCCAACCUUGCGCAUUUUAUUUACUCUAGGAAUACAUCAAAGGAAGUUGCAUUAAUUAAUAAAUUAAAAAUGCCACUUUUACACUUGAUAUUAGUUUCAAAGGAAUUAUUUAGUGUUUGAUGUCAAAAUCCCUUGUAGAAGUGGUUAGAAAUCAAAUUGCAUAUGAAAAUGGAUACUAUUUAACCGUGCAACUAGACACCUCAAAGUUAGAUGACUAUCCAUGCUAAAAAUGUUCGGUGACUGACAUUUUUAAGUUUGGUAACAACUUGAGUACAAAUCCACACAUUUUCUAGAUUUCUUGUUAAGCUUUUAUUUGAUGGGGAUUAAAAUCAGAUUUUUAGUAGAUUGUGAUAAAAGUUAACGAAAUGAGUGGUUGAUUACUUGAUGUGUCUUGUUUGUUGAAUUGUUGAUUUGUCUAGAUAUGCUCAAUCCAAACUCGAAUGUUGAAUUGUUGAUUUUUAGAUCAAUUCUAAUUGAAAAUUGAAUUGGGACAUUUUGCAAAUUAUGGAACGAUUUUUUCAAUCGAAACGAAGGUCUAUACCCAGCUCUCCUAAUUCUACUUGUGCUUCUAGUCCCGCUAUUGCUUCUAGCCGAGCACACGAGUUGUUAAAUAACAUAAAGAGUCUCAAGCUCAAUUCAAUGUUGAUGAUCUUGUAUCUGAUCCAAGAAAAUGCCCCCUAUCGAGUCAAAUGAUCCUAAUAUCAAAGAUGAUGUUAGGAUGGCAUACUUGGAAAAAAGGUCCUUGUCAACCACAUGGACAUGACUUUCCAAGAAGACGGAUAUGAAAUGAUAAUAGGUAUUCUCAUAAAGAAUGGUAUUCUGAAUUUUAUUGGUUGGAGUGCAGUAUAGAAAAUGAUGCGACUUAUUGUUUGCAUUGCUACUUAUUCAAACUUGAUAGAGGGGGUCAAGGGGGUGGACAUAUAUUCACUAAGAGCGGCUUUAGGGAUUGGAAGCACAAAAAUAUAUCGAAAGAUCAUGUCAGGCUUGUUGAUAGUGCUCAUAAUCAAACUUUUGCAAAGUGUACCAACUUGAUGAAUCAAAAGCAAAGUAUCUCCUAUGUUAUUUCUAGAUAAAGUAGUAGUCAACAAAAAAGUUAUAGGACAAGAUUGACUGCGGUGCUAGAUUGUACUAGUUUUCUCUUGUUGUAAGGAUUGCCAUUUCGUGGUUAUGAUGAAUCGAAAGAGUCUUCUAAUAAAAGAAAUAUAAUUGAGCUACUAAAUUGGUAUGGAGCUCGUAGUAAGAAAAUUAAUAAAGUAGUACUUAGUAAUGCUCCUGGAAAUGACCAAAUGACUUCACCAAGUAUCCAUAAGAAUUUAGUUAAUUGUUGUGCUGUAGAGACAAUAAAGUCUAUUAUCAAUGAGAUGGGUGAUUCUUUGUUUUCAAUUUUGGUUGUUAAGGCUCGUGAUAAUUCUAUAAAAGAACAAAUGGAAGUUGUUCCGAGGUUUGUUUACAAAAGUAGGCAAGUGAAGGAGCGUUUCCCAUAUCACUGAUACUUGUGCCAAUCACACAAGUAUGCCAUUGAUGUAAUAUUUUCUACACAUGGGUUGAGCAUAUUUAGCCUCAGAGGUCAAGGUUACAAUGGAGCAAGCAAUAUGUCAAUGAGUUCAAUGGCUUGGAAGCUUUAAUUUAAAGAGAGGGCCUAUAUGCUAUGUAUGUUCAUUGCUUUGCUUACCAGCUUCAGUUGGAAGUUGUUUCUGUGGCAUGUAGAAAUCUUAUGCUUGGUAAUUUAUUUAACAUGUUUGUUGUUAUUGUGAAUUUGGUUGGUGUAUCAUAUAAACGUAUAGAUGCUCUUCGAGUAAGUUAUAAUUCUGAAAUUCUAGAGAGGCUUAAUAUUGGGGAACUUUCUGGUGGAACUGGUCAGUUUCAAGAAAUGAGUUUGGCACACCUAGGUGAUACUAGAUGGGGCUCACAUCUAACAACAAUUACUUGCUUUAUUAGUAUGUUUAAUGCAAUCAUAGAUGUUCUUAAGAAUAUAUUAGAAGAUGUCAUAAGUUUAGAUAAAAAAUCAAUGGUUGUAAGACAGAUGGACACUAUGCAAGAUUUUCAGUUUGUGUUCAGUCUUCAUUUUAUGUUUGAAAUUCUUGCAAUUACAGACAACAUUUAUAGAUAAAGGAUUAGGAUAUUCAGAAUGCUAUGAGGUUAUUAAAGUUGUGUAAGUACGCAUUGCAGAACAUGAGUGACAAUAGUUGGGAUACUUUGCUGAGUAAGGUGAUUGAGUUUUGUGUUGAUGACAUAUUUCAGUG
rnacentral:lncRNA from 1 species